rnacentral:rRNA from 1 species
AACGCUGGCGGCGUGCCUAAUACAUGCAAGUAGAACGCUGAAGAGAGGAGCUUGCUCUUCUUGGAUGAGUUGCGAACGGGUGAGUAACGCGUAGGUAACCUGCCUUGUAGCGGGGGAUAACUAUUGGAAACGAUAGCUAAUACCGCAUAACAAUGGAUGACACAUGUCAUUUAUUUGAAAGGGGCAAUUGCUCCACUACAAGAUGGACCUGCGUUGUAUUAGCUAGUAGGUGAGGUAAUGGCUCACCUAGGCGACGAUACAUAGCCGACCUGAGAGGGUGAUCGGCCACACUGGGACUGAGACACGGCCCAGACUCCUACGGGAGGCAGCAGUAGGGAAUCUUCGGCAAUGGGGGCAACCCUGACCGAGCAACGCCGCGUGAGUGAAGAAGGUUUUCGGAUCGUAAAGCUCUGUUGUAAGUCAAGAACGGGUGUGAGAGUGGAAAGUUCACACUGUGACGGUAGCUUACCAGAAAGGGACGGCUAACUACGUGCCAGCAGCCGCGGUAAUACGUAGGUCCCGAGCGUUGUCCGGAUUUAUUGGGCGUAAAGCGAGCGCAGGCGGUUUGAUAAGUCUGAAGUUAAAGGCUGUGGCUCAACCAUAGUUCGCUUUGGAAACUGUCAAACUUGAGUGCAGAAGGGGAGAGUGGAAUUCCAUGUGUAGCGGUGAAAUGCGUAGAUAUAUGGAGGAACACCGGUGGCGAAAGCGGCUCUCUGGUCUGUAACUGACGCUGAGGCUCGAAAGCGUGGGGAGCGAACAGGAUUAGAUACCCUGGUAGUCCACGCCGUAAACGAUGAGUGCUAGGUGUUGGAUCCUUUCCGGGAUUCAGUGCCGCAGCUAACGCAUUAAGCACUCCGCCUGGGGAGUACGACCGCAAGGUUGAAACUCAAAGGAAUUGACGGGGGCCCGCACAAGCGGUGGAGCAUGUGGUUUAAUUCGAAGCAACGCGAAGAACCUUACCAGGUCUUGACAUCCCGAUGCUAUUUCUAGAGAUAGAAAGUUACUUCGGUACAUCGGUGACAGGUGGUGCAUGGUUGUCGUCAGCUCGUGUCGUGAGAUGUUGGGUUAAGUCCCGCAACGAGCGCAACCCCUAUUGUUAGUUGCCAUCAUUCAGUUGGGCACUCUAGCGAGACUGCCGGUAAUAAACCGGAGGAAGGUGGGGAUGACGUCAAAUCAUCAUGCCCCUUAUGACCUGGGCUACACACGUGCUACAAUGGUUGGUACAACGAGUUGCGAGUCGGUGACGGCGAGCUAAUCUCUUAAAGCCAAUCUCAGUUCGGAUUGUAGGCUGCAACUCGCCUACAUGAAGUCGGAAUCGCUAGUAAUCGCGGAUCAGCACGCCGCGGUGAAUACGUUCCCGGGCCUUGUACACACCGCCCGUCACACCACGAGAGUUUGUAACACCCGAAGUCGGUGAGGUAACCUUUUGGAGCCAGCCGCCUAAGGUGGGACAGAUGAUUGGG